AUAUACAAGAAGGCGUCAAGUGGAUCCAAGUGAGAAGACACAAGUGGGCGGGUGUUUGAAGAUGAAGGCGUCAAAAAUAAUGGGAAGAGGAAAAAAAGGGAAACACAUUGUGAAUGUGGAUGAAUGAAUUAAUGAUGAUUGGAU
ensembl:ncRNA F17C8.11 ncRNA